UGGGGAAUCUUGCACAAUGGGCGGAAGCCUGAUGCAGCGACGCCGCGUGGGGGAUGACGGCCUUCGGGUUGUAAACUCCUUUCGCCAGGGACGAAGCCGUGAGGUGACGGUACCUGGAUAAGAAGCACCGGCUAACUACGUGCCAGCAGCCGCGGUAAUACGUAGGGUGCGAGCGUUGUCCGGAAUUACUGGGCGUAAAGAGCUCGUAGGUGGUUUGUCGCGUCGUCUGUGAAAUUCCGGGGCUUAACUCCGGGCGGGCAGGCGAUACGGGCAUAACUUGAGUGCUGUAGGGGAGACUGGAAUUCCUGGUGUAGCGGUGAAAUGCGCAGAUAUCAGGAGGAACACCGAUGGCGAAGGCAGGUCUCUGGGCAGUAACUGACGCUGAGGAGCGAAAGCAUGGGUAGCGAACAGG
rnacentral:rRNA from 1 species